GAUUUUAGUUCCUCAACCAGGGAUUGAACCCAUAUCCCCUGCAUUGCAAGGCAGAGUCUUAACUUCUGGAUCACCAGAGAAGUCCCUCCCCUAGUUUUUUUAAAUCUUUCACCUAUAUUCCUGUCUUGGUUACAUGCAGAAAUGCUACUCUUCAAGGACCAUUAACUCCCUGACUUCACAUAACAAGAUUCUGAUCCUGUAUCUAUUGUCUGUGUUUUAACUACCAGGUUUUGUGGCUUGACUGUGCCUGGCACUUGAUGUACCUGGUCUUCCUUCAAGGUGGUGUAGAUUGCUGCUAGGUUACUGGAUUCUUUUCUUGAGGGGUCAUUAGCUUACAACAGUUUCUCAAACUCCCUUAAAAUUCCCUUUCUGUCUUUAGUCCCCUAGUGGGAUUUCUAAACUCACUAUUAAAUUAUCCUAUUCUAUCCUUAUCAUUUUUAGAACACAAGACUCCCUUUCUCUAGUAAACUAGAUCUAGGGAAGUCUGGGAAGGCUUCACAGAAGAGGUGACAUUUGAACUGGGGCCUUGAAGUUUAUCUAGGGUUCUACCCUGUACAAUUCCAAGUGCUGCCAUUCACAAGGUAAUCUCUGUUACUGGCUCCCCUGCAUGUGCAGGGCAACUCUGAGAUCUUCACAGAGAAAUGGAGAAGGUGCCCUUGUUAGUUUUUGCUGUCUAACAAAUGGCUUCCCAAAUUCAGCCUCCCAAAUUCAUGCUCUAUUGGUUUCAAACAAUAAGCAUUUACAGGUCAGCUGGCUAGCUCUUCUGAACUCAGGUGGGCUUAUUCCUGCACCUGAAUCAGCUGGUGAGUCAACUGUAGGGUGAUCAACCGUCCUGGUUUGCCUGGAACUGCCCCAGUUAUAGCACUGAAAGACCUACAUCCCAGAGAGGGUGUUUGCUACUCUGAUGGACAAACGGACAGGGGACGCAACUGUCCAGUAUCACUCGGCUCGCUGGACCAGGACAGCAGCACCAGCCUCAUCUCUGUUCUCCUCCUCCUGUCUGUUCUCGGCUCUGCAGCCGAGCGCUCUCAAAUCCACCAAGCUCUGUCCUGCCCUCACUCAGCGCCCUCCAGGGAUGUCCCCCACUCUUCAGUUUUAUUCUCCCCCACACCAACUUUGUACUCUGAAAUUCCUCUAUAAGAGGUGAAAGACUAGAAAAUGAAUACCCUAUGUACUUUUCCAAGAUUUAACGAUGGCUAACAUUCUCCAUCUCGGAGAAGGGAAUGGCACCCCACUCCAGUACUCUUGCCUGGAAAAUCCCAUGGAUGGAGGAGCCUGGUGGGCUACAGU
ensembl:lncRNA